rnacentral:rRNA from 1 species
GACGAACGCUGGCGGCGUGCUUAACACAUGAAAGUGGAGCGACGAACCAGGGCUUGCCCUGGGGCAGAGCCGCGAACGGGUGAGUAACACGUGGGUAACGUGCCCCGAUGACUGGGACAACCCGGGGAAACCCGGGCUAAUACCGGAUGUGACCCCUCACCUCCGUGGGGUGUGUAAGAAAGCUUCGGCCUCCGCAUCGGUAUCGGCCCGCGGCCCCUUAACUUGUUCGUGAGGUAACGGCAAAACAUGGCCGCGAUUGCUAACUGCUCUGUGCGGACGCCCCGCCACUCUCGGACUGAGACACGCUCCACACUCCUACGGGAGGCCGCAGCGGUGAAUCGUGCGCAACGCGCGAAAGCGUGACGCAGCAACGCCGCGUGGUGGAAGACGGCCUUCGGGUUGUAAACCCCUUUCAGUUGGGACGAAUGUCGGGCGGUUAACAGCCGUCCCGGCUGACGUUACCCACACAAGAAGCCCCGGCUAACUACGUG